rnacentral:rRNA from 1 species
GUCCCGGCCGUAAACGAUGUGCACUAGGGAGGGGAGCGCCUAAGCUGUCCCUCCCCAAGCGAAAGCGUUAAGUGCACCGCCUGGGGAGUAUGCUCGCAAGGGUAAACUCAAAGGAAUUGACGGGGGCUCACACAAGCGGUGGAGCAUGUGGUUUAAUUCGAGGCAACGCGAAGAACCUUACCAAGGUUAGACAUCUACGCUAACCCCUUCGAAAGUUGGGGGUGUUAUUCAGGCGUAGUGCAGGUGUUGCAUGGCUGUCGU